UCCCCGAGCCCCCGCAGUGCCACAGUUCUCUGAGGCAGGAGGGGAUCCCAGCAUGCAAUGGAAAUGGUUCCCAUCCCUGUUUGCUUCUAGAUGAGGACACUGGUAAUGUUUCUCCUUUACAUUGGCUGCGUGAAGUUUUGAAGCCAUUUAGGCCUCCUGCAGGGGUGUCCACAGGGAAGACUUUUCCAGGUCCUGUGCUGGUUCCUCCACACGAGCCCAGCUCACACAGCAGGGGCAAGAACCAACCUCCAGGAGAG